GCAGAUAUAGCCAAGCGGUACGGCGCUGGCUUGGAGAGCCAGUGUGUGAAAACACUCGAGGGUUCGAAUCCCUCUGUCUGCG
rnacentral:tRNA from 1 species